rnacentral:rRNA from 1 species
GGAUUCUAUCGUUGGUCGGGCUAACAAGUCUGUACUGGUGUGUAGAAUUUCUACCUUCUGGGGAACUAUCAUGUUAUUAAUUUAGCGUGGUGGGAAACCAGGACUUUUACCUUGAGAAAAUUAGAGUGUUCAAAGCAGGCCUAUGCCUGAAUACAUUAGCAUGGAAUAAUAGAAUAGGACGUGUGGUUCUAUUUUGUUAGUUUCUAGAAUCGCCGUA